rnacentral:rRNA from 1 species
ACGAACGCUGGCGGCAUGCCUAACACAUGCAAGUCGAACGAGACCUUCGGGUCUAGUGGCGCACGGGUGCGUAACGCGUGGGAACCUGCCCUUAGGUUCGGAAUAACUCCCCGAAAGGGGUGCUAAUACCGGAUAAUGUCUUCGGACCAAAGAUUUAUCGCCUUUGGAUGGGCCCGCGUUGGAUUAGCUAGUUGGUAGGGUAAAAGCCUACCAAGGCGACGAUCCAGAGCUGGUCUGAGAGGAUGAUCAGCCACACUGGGACUGAGACACGGCCCAGACUCCUACGGGAGGCAGCAGUGGGGAAUAUUGGACAAGGGGCGAAAGCCUGAUCCAGCAAUGCCGCGUGAGUGAUGAAGGCCUUAGGGUUGUAAAGCUCUUUUACCCGGGAUGAUAAUGACAGUACCGGGAGAAUAAGCUCCGGCUAACUCCGUG